UACGGGGGGAGCAAGCGUUGUUCGGAUUUACUGGGCGUAAAGGGCGCGUAGGCGGCCACCGCAAGUCGACUGUGAAAUCUCCGGGCUUAACCCGGAAAGGUCAGCCGAUACUGCGGGGCUAGAGUGCAGAAGGGGGCAACUGGAAUUCUCGGUGUAGCGGUGAAAUGCGCAGAUAUCAGGAGGAACACCGGUGGCGAAGGCGGGUCUCUGGGCAGUAACUGACGUGAGGAGCGAAAGCGUGGGGGAGCGAACAGG
rnacentral:rRNA from 1 species